UUGCGCCUGCGGCGGGUCAGGCACGGGCUUCAUAAAAGGCUUCGCAGGCAGCCGCCCGUGUACGAUCCGGUACAUUCCGGAAUUUCCGGAAUUUAAUGAUUUU
rnacentral:sRNA from 1 species